GUGCCAGCCGCCGCGGUAAUACGAAGGGGGCUAGCGUUGUUCGGAAUUACUGGGCGUAAAGCGCGCGCAGGCGGUCUUCCAAGUCAGUGGUGAAAGCCUGGAGCUCAACUCCAGAACUGCCAUUGAAACUGUUAGACUUGAGUACGAGAGAGGUGAGUGGAAUUCCCAGUGUAGAGGUGAAAUUCGUAGAUAUUGGGAAGAACACCAGUGGCGAAGGCGGCUCACUGGCUCGUAACUGACGCUCAGGCGCGACAGCGUGGGGAUCAAACAGGAUUAGAUACCCUCGUAGUCC
rnacentral:rRNA from 1 species